UGCAGCCCUAAAAGGACAAAAAAAAAAAAAAAAUGGACCUGGACUUCUCCAGGUGGCACAGCUGGUGAAUGACAGCUAGGCCCAGCGUGCCUUUGCGCUGUGCAUGUCCAGUGGCUCAGAUGAGAGGAGAGAAGAGGGCAAGGGAGAGGAAUGCAGUGGGGGCCCCAGGGCCUCCUCCACAGGGAGGGGGCUGGACUCUGUGCCCAGGGUGCUGAGGAGCCAUUGAUGGUUUCUGAGCUGGAGAGAAAUGACCCAGGCUGGGUCCUCAGGUGCCUGGGGCUUGUCUGGGCCAUCUGUCUCCACCUCCUCCACCUGCCACCCUCUGCGUCCAUCCACCCCCACCGCUUCUCAACCACACUGAGAAACCAUGUGUGACGGAGGAGAAUGUAAAAAUAUAUAUGCAACCGAAAAACAACAACGAGCUGACAGAACACAGCUAUAAAUACCCUGACGGGUUUGGAAACAUGCCUCCGAUCCUGCUUCCUGCUGCCUGAGCUCGGGGGGAGCACGGUGUUUGACAGGUGGGGUGGGAACUCAAGGAAGGGGACGGGAAAGGGGACAGCCAUGUGUGGACCUUCUUUGUGCCAAGCGCUUUAUAAGCGCACGUCUCUGAGUCUUAAAACCCAGAGAAUCAGCACUGUCACCCCUGUUCACAGAUUAGAAAACCGAAGCACAGAAAGGUAGGUCAUCUGGCCAAAGUCACACAGCAGUGGACUUUGGGAGGCAGCAGAGCUGGGAUUCCAGUAAGUCCUUCGAAGGCCCAACUCUCCAAAGAAGAGACGGCGGCUGCAGGCUCCACCUCCCUCCAUCCCUGCCCAGGGCCAGAGAAAGCUUCAGGCUUCCAGGAACUCCCCUGCUUACACACCUUCCAUGGCUCCCCAGUACCCUCCAGAUAAAGACCAAAUUUAAGGCCAUCAAGGCCCCUGUGAUCCAGCUCCGCCCAUUCCCAGAGCCCACCUCCUGCCACUGCCCUGGGUUUCUGAGCCACAGCCAGGCCACGCUGACCUGCCCUCAGGGUCUCUUCAGGGCCGGUGCUCUAGCCUCUGCACCUACUGUUCCCUGUAGUUUCAUCUACCUGCAGCAGGGCCUCAGCUCAAGUGCCACCUCCUCCUGACCCCCUCCCCUGCUCAGAUCCCCCUGGGCUUUCCCUGCAGGGCCUCGCGCUCCACUGUAAUCACGUGGGUCAUUAUGGGAGACUUGCCACAGCUGAUGAGGGCAGGGUCAAAUGGGCCACAGCUGGUGAGGGCAGGGCCAGGACCCGGUGCAGGCGGUGUGGCCCCCACGGACUGAGCAGCCAGGAGGGCCUGUGGCAGGGGAAGUAGGUUCCUGUCGUGUAGAUGCCCCUCUCUGAUGAGCAGGAGGUCUUGGGGUGAUGACAACGCAGUGAGAACUGGCCUUGAGCUGCUGGAGAGUCUGGAGGUGGUGGCAGGAAAUGGGACCAGAAGGGGCGCCAGCCUCAGGCUCUGGGAGGAAAAGGAAAGCAGAUGAAGGAGGAAGACCAUGUAAGGGAGUCCUGGGGCCGCCGCAAGGGGUACUGGGGACCAGCUGAGAAGGACGGGAAGUGAGUCUGCCCCGGCCCUGGACCCUCACCGUGUCCCGGAUCAGCUUUCCACAAGCCGUCUGAGCCUGUUUGCACCUCUCGCCAGGGUGAGCACAGAGGCCACUCCAAGAUCCCUCUCUGUGGCGGACACUGGGCUGGGCGCUGGCAAGACAGACCUAAAAGUGACAGAGGUGCUCGAGUCAAGGUGAAUGUAUAUGAUUCAUCGUGCAAACGGGGACAUGUGUGAAGGGAAGUCUACUAAUAAUUAUGGUGGGAACGCAGCGUAAACCCUGGCAAACCAAGGUGCAAGGUCACUCCCGUUAAAUAGAAAAGUGAGGGGAGACUUAAUCGAUGGAGGACAGGCAGAGGGGAGUCUUGGCAGGGGUAAUGGCAGGUACGGGGAUGUGGCAAGCUUGGGGACAAGUGGAGAGUUUAUGGUGGCAAGGAUGUGGUGUGUGCUGCGGAGAAGGAGCAGAAGAGAGGCCGGGGUCUCCAGGCAGUAAGAGGUGGGCAGUUUGGAACAACUAGAACAGGAUGGCAGACACCUUGCAGCUGCCAGCCCUGGACCCAUGGCAGGAUCACUAAGUGACCAUCACACUCCUUCCCACUGAUUCAGCCUCACGGCCCUCCACACAGUGUUGGGGGGCGGGGAGGGGGCCAGUCACUGCCAGCGGAAAAGCUGGGCCCCAGAUGAAACCUAUUUGCCAUUGGAGGCUAAGCGGUGGAUACAAGUGUGGACUUUGCUGGAGAUGAGGCUGGAGUUCAAACUGAAAGAGACCUAGAAUGUGGGGGAAGGAGCUAGAAUGUUGUCUAGGUAUUAGGGAGCCAUCAGAGGGUGUUGGGGGGAGGGAUAUAACUAGACUAACAUUUCAGGAGUUGGUCUAAAUGAUCACUGCCAUUGGUGGAAGGACCUGGAAUGACAGGGUGAGAAUGGAUGGGGCUCUGACCGGAUGUGGAGCAGAGAUGUGGAGCAGAGACGUGGGGCUGAAGGCCGAGAAGAGGUUUUUCAUGGGGCAGGGAAAGAAGAGGCAGGCAGAUAGGCCUCUGGAGUCCUGGCCCCAGUGGGAAGACUGUUGGCAGGGAGGUGUAACAGCACAGCAGGAGGUCCUGAUAGGAAUCUUUGUUCCAGAGGCCGCCCUGAGACUCUGUGCCCCCAGGGGGAAGGAGGCCCAACAGGUCCGGUGGCUUUUACUGUGGAGAGCAUCAGAGCCUGGAGAAAUUCACCUUUAGAGGGAAACAAACCAUCAUGAAAUGCACCCCCCUCCCCCCCACUCAGGGCCCCUCCGCAGAGGAGAGGAGGUGGCCCUGGUACUGCUUAUAAUGUCUGGGGGUAACUGCAAGAGGGGGGCACUGACACGUCAUCCCUGAUUGGAUGUCUGCUUAGCCAUGGGCUGCCACCUGCCCCAGGGUCACCAGAAAGGGACAUGGGGGCACAGUGCCAGGGUAAGGGCCUUUGGUUUCUGGCUCCAGGGAGGCACAGUGGUUGAGUGGAGCCACCAGCUGUGGCCAGUUGAAGGAAGUGGAGGCUGCAGGCUCCCUGGAGUCUUCUCAGCCUAGGGCCAGGGUCUCAGCCCUGGGGGUGGGUGUGGGGAGCUCAGAGCACAGGGUGGCUUUGUCUGAGGAGGGGCCACCAGUGUCUGGGAGAGGGGCCAGGAAUUGAGUCCCUGGUCAGUGGAACCCUGGGGGCCUCCACCUGCUACCACCAGAUCUACAGGCGUUGAGCUAAUUCCACCACAGCCGUGACUCUCCAAAGGGGAACCACAGCCUGGCCAGGUGCCUCUAGAAGGACGACCAUUCCCUCUGUCUUCUCCCUUAACCCCAGCCCUGGGGUGAGCCCAGAGGAAGGGCGUGGAUGCAUGUGUGACAGAGACGACACAGGCACAUACGUGCACAUUAACACACUCAGGCCCCCAGAGCUCCCAGCUUGGCUCACCUUGUGGUGGAAGAAGAAAGUUUGGAAUCAAAUCUGAGCCUGAACGGUUUUUUUGGUUUUGGUUUUUUUGGCUGCUCGCAUGGCAUGUGGAAGUGCUCGGAAUAAGGAUUGAACCCACGUUGUAGCCGUGACCCAAGCCCCUACAGUGACAAUGCAGGAUCCUUAACCCACUGUACCACAAGAGAACGCCUGAGCCUAAAGUUUUACAAGGCCCAGGUCUUGGGAGUUCCUAUUGUGGCACAGAGGGUUAAGAAUCUGACUGCAGCGUCUGGAGUUGAGGCAUAACAUGGGUUUGAUCUCUGGUUUGGCGCAGUGGGUUAAAGGAUCUGGCGAGGCCACAGCUAUGGCACAGGUCACAGCUCUGGCUCAGAUUCAGCCCCUGGCUCAGAACGUCCUUAUGCAGAGGUGUGGCCAUUAAAAAAGUAAACUCCCAGAGCUUAACCAGAAUGAGACUGCUUUUAUAUCCAAAAGUGUCUAAACGUUAGAAACUGGACCAAAUACUGUCAAAGGUGCAGAACUCCCCUCUGGUGGAGGGGCUCACAGAGCCCAACUGGUAGCUGUUCUUCGAAAAAUAAAGCUGUGCCCAAAUUGUAACCCAGUGAAUGACCCGAAGGUCUUUAAUGAGCCGUUUCCAAGGGGAACACAGAAAGGGGAUGGGAUUUGAAGGGGAAAGAUGAUCAGAGACCGGGAUGGAACGAAGCUUUAUUGAAUGAAUUAGGCAGAGGGGUCCGGGAAGGUCGGACAACUGUCUGUCCACCCCCUGCAAGGUCUGGGAGCGCUGUCCCUAUGGGAAUCGUGGGGUCACUCUGUCAGUGGUUGGGCUUCUGCCCUCAACCCAAUGCUGAGCCCCCUCUAGGUUGGUUUCAGACUUGAGGAGACCUCUCCCUCCAAGGCCGGGCCUGAAUCUCAGGAUCCCUUAACCUUAAGUGGGCCCCGUGGGCCAGGCCUGAAACCAGGGAGGUGACCUUCCAGAGAGGAAGGGGCCAGCAGCCAGAGCUUGGUCCUCGCUUAGCCUGUCACCCCUGGGGCCAGGGCGGGAAGACAGCAGAGGGAAGAGGAGGAGGAGAGCUUUGGCCAAGGGUGGGGUCGGAUUCCCCCAGGUCCGGCUCCCUUGUGAGAGGUGGCGGGUAAGGAAAGAACGUGUGAACGAGGGAGUCUUGCCCCCAGUGCCUAGCGCUGCAGAGAGGGGUUCGGUUCGUGUCGGGGUGUCUGAGGGUGAGGGGUCUGGGGUGAUCCAGGGGGAUGGGUGUGAGGUCGGGGGCCCUCAGGAGAAGGACAUCUGGAUGUCAUCAGAGUCGAGCAGACGUGCAGCCUUGGAGCCAAAGCAGAGAGCACGAAGAGGCGGCGAGGAGAAGGGAGCCUCGGAGGAGCCUGUAUUUGGAGGCGGGAGGAAAAGCUGCAGGAACUGGCCCAAGAGCUCCGCAGCCGCCAGAUCCUGGCCGGCCUCCGGGCCCUGCUGGCAGCUGACAAGAUGCAUCUCUCAACUGCUCUGGAAAACCUAAUGGCCUUGAGUCUGCCCAGGUGGGCAGCGGGACAAAUGUACCUCCCCGCUUCCUGCACCCCCUCCUCGGGCUCUGGCGGCUGCUCAGGGCCGCCUCUGAGACCGCCCCACCCUGGCCAGCGGCACCCUCCUCCCUCUUGGGGCUCAGCGUUCCAGACUUUCUCCUCAUCAGAGUUUACCAGGCAGGUCUGAUUCUCUCUCCCGAGUCCCCCGCCAAGUUCUGCCUGGCUCCCUGCCCCUCUCUCUCCUCUUCUUAGAGCAGGAGCCAGUUGAGGCCUGCGAUGAGCCUCGAGCCAGGCCCGGGGACCCUUCCCACCCAAGGCAACGAAGCCAGCCCACUGCCGCUCAGAAGUCCCUCUGCUUGAGGAGUUCCUGUUGUGGUGCAGUGGAAAUGAACCCGACUAGUAUCCAUGAGGACGCAGGUUCGAUCCCUGGCCUCACUCAGUGUGUCAGGCAGAACAAUUCAACCUUUCCAGGCCCAAUCCCAAAUCCUGCCCAACUUUGCACAGUCCAGCCUGGGAAGGCGCAGACACAGAAAGGACCCGUCUUUGAACAGAACUGGCCUUCCUUCCAGGGCAGCCAGCUGACAUUGACCAUGGGCUCCCUCACAGAUCAAAGUGCUAUUUUCAGAACAACGGGGAAAGAAUGCCAAAUACACCCCUCCCAAAAAAAAAACCAUGGAAUUAAGGGAAUUUCUGUUUUACAAGCCACCUGAGUCCUGACUAAGUAAGCUCAGGGCCAGCACCUUGUCCCAGAAGAACAGCUCUGAUAGGGGCUUUCGCCUGUGACAGCAACUUCUGGAGAACCGGUUUAGCCUGGGCUAUCUCCAGUCUCUGUUGACAUCACACCACAUAUCAGAGGGGACCUGGCCCUGACUCUGGCUCCAACAUGUCCUUCCAUGGCGACAUCUGAGUUUUGUCAAGACCCUACUACAUGGAAUCGUAGGAGGUGGGGGAGUUCCAGGGGGAGAAGCAGGUAAGUAAGGAGGGCAUCGUGGAAGAGGUGGCCCUGCUCAGAGGACGGACAGCAAGAACCCCUCAAGGCUGUAAUUAAGAAGACACAUAAUUGCAAGUGUUGGCAAGGAUCUGGAGAACUUGGCGCCCUCAUACCCUGCUGGUGGGAAUAUAAAAUGGCACAGAAAACAGUCUGGCACAUCCUCAAAAAGUUAAGGAGUUCCCGUCAUGGCGUAGGGGUUAACAAAUCCGACUAGGAACCACGAGGUUGCGGGUUCAAUCCCUGGCCUCGCUCAGUGGGUUAAGGAUCCAGCGUUGCUGUGAGCUGUGGUGUGGGUCGCAGACGUGGCUCGGAUCCUCUGUUGCUGUGGCUCUGGCGUAGGCCGGUGGCUACAGCUCCGAUGAGAACCCUAGCCUGGGAAUCUCCAUAUGCCAUGGGUGCGGCCCUAGAAAAGGCAAAAAGACAAAAAAAAUGCAAAAAAAAAAAAAAGUUGAACGUAGAGCUACCGUAUGACGCAGUUAUUCCACCCCUAGCUGUGUAUCCAAGAGAAAUGAAAACACAUGUUCACACAAAAACUUGUACAUGAAUCUUCACAGUAGUGUUUUUCAUAAUUGCCAAAAAAUAGAAACAGCCUAAAUGUCCACCAGCGGAUGAAUGGAUAAAUAAAAUGAGGUGUGUCCCAACAAUGGACUAUUGUUCCGCCAUAAGAGGAAUAUCUGCUACAACGUGAUUGAAACUGGAAAGUCUUUUUAUGUGAAAGAGUCCAGUCAGUCACUGGAGUUCCCCGGUGGUUCAGCGGGUUAAAGAUCCUGCAUUGUGGAGUUCCUGUCAAGGUUCAGUGGUUAAUGAACACAAGUAGCAUCCAUGCGGAUGCUGGUUUGAUCCUUGGCCUCGAUCAGUGGGUUAAGGAUCCGGCGUUGCCGUGAGCUGUAGUGUAGGUCGAAGACGCAACUUGGAUCCUGUGCUGCUGUGGCUGUGGCUGUGGUAUAGGCCAGUGGCUACAGCUCAGAUUGGACCCUAGCCUGGGAAACCUCCAUAUGCUGAGGAAGUGGCCCU